rnacentral:lncRNA from 1 species
CUGCCAGGAAAUAUUAACAUCAGAGCUAGUACUGCUGUGACAAGGUUAUGCCACUCAGGUAUUCAUUAAACAUUUAUUAACUUCGUGGCAGGUAAAGGUGUCACUGUUUACAUAUUUUCAAAUCUGUGCAAAUCUACCAAAUCUAAUUUUAAAAGUGUUUGUGCAAUUAUGACCUCUUUAAUUAUGGUCCCCAAAAUAGAAACCUGUGAGAGUAUUGGUUAAUGCAGUGCUAAUUUAUGAUACUUUCUUUUUUUUUUUGACAAUGUACAGGACACAGGUUGUUUUUAUUUUCAUAACUCUUAAUUGGAAAUUUUAUGACAAUUUCAUAUAAGUAAUAUUUUACAUAUGUGGCUCAGGUAGCAUUAAUGACUUGAGAUUUUUUGUAUAUAGUAGUUAUCCCUGUUCCUUGGAUUGACAGUUGCAUCUAUACCUCACCACCUGGAAUAUAAAUUUAAGUUGUUUAAUUAAUUUGACAUUGUCAGACUUGUAAUCCAUUUUUAAAAAUGUACCAUGUGGUUGUAAAUUUUCUCAUGUAACUAUUUUUUUUGUUACUUUAAUUAAAGGAAGUCAUGCUGCAUAAAAUAGACAGUGUAACAAGGAAUAAAGCAGUAACAAACACAGUAUUACUGAAGCUUGGUCCUAGGCUCUGGGGAUUUCAGACUUUGUAGGUGUUGGAGAAGUGGCUGUGUCUACAUUCUACUUAAAAAUUGUUCAUCUACUGAUGCCUUUCUACAAGAUACGGGGAAAUUAGAUCUAUUCAUCUCUUCUAUCUGGUUGCCCCUUUCCACAAACCAUGGGGCUUCCUGUGUAAAAUAUGCUAUUUGCAGGACACCAGAUGAAGUUCACCUGAAGCUGUUGCUCCAGAAAGAAAAAAAGACCAAAUCUGAAAUCUUUUCCAAGACCACAUUGAGAAGCCAGUUUGAGAUCCAGAAUCACACAGAGAUGAGGCAGAAUAUGUAA